AAGCCACUGACAACUUCGAUACUGCAAGAAUAUUAGGAGAAGGUGGCUUUGGAAUUGUAUACAGUGGCAGUUUAGACGAUGGAAGAGAAGUGGCUGUGAAGGUUCUUAAACGACAUAAUCAACAUGGUAUUCGGGAAUUCUUGGCAGAAGUCGAGAUGCUGAGCCGUCUACACCAUAGAAAUCUAGUUAAGUUGAUUGGUAUCUGCACAGAAGAUCAGAUUCGCUGCCUGGUAUAUGAAUUGGUU
rnacentral:misc_RNA from 1 species